rnacentral:rRNA from 1 species
GGAAUAUUGCGCAAUGGGCGAAAGCCUGACGCAGCGACGCCGCGUGAGGGAUGAAGGCCUUCGGGUUGUAAACCUCUUUUUGUGGGGACGAAACAAAUGACGGUACCCACGGAAUAAGCACCGGCUAACUCCGGGCCAGCAGCCGAGGUAAUACAGAGGGUGCAAGCGUUAUUCGGAUUUACUGGGCGUAAAGGUCGCGUAGGUUGUUUAGUUAGUCUGUUGUGAAAUCCCUGGGCUUAAUCCAGGAAGUGCAGCGGAUACUGCUAAACUCGAGUACAGGAGAGGAGGACGGAAUUCCCGGUGUAGAGGUGAAAUUCGUAGAUAUCGGGAGGAACACCAGAAGCGAAGGCGGUUCUCUGGACUGUAACUGACACUGAGGCGCGAAAGCGUGGGGAGCAA